UAACUCUUUCCCGUCUCUCAACAGAUCCCGGUUCUUGCCAAAAGUCGGGAGAGUUUCAAUUUUGCCAUUAACUCUUCUUAUUAUUCAGACUUGCCAGUUUCCAGCAGGGGUCGCCACAGGACCGCGAAAGCCACCACUUCAUCACACACACUCCAAACCUCUCGUAGGCAAGCAAGACAUCGUCAUCGAGAGAGUCAUCUCUUUCUGAGGAUGAUUGGGCCGGUCCCUCGGGUGUCCAUCUUAGGAGAAUUGCAGUGUCAGAUCAAGGAAGGAAAAUAAUGAAGGUCGAGGGCGGAUGCUACAUCCUGUGUGAUGCAUGGGAGGGGUCAGCUGCAUCCUCACAGUGUUAGUAGCUACAAUAUUAUUUCUGGUUUAAACAUUUUAGAAGUUAUUUAACAUCUUAUGAAACAGUUUUUCAUUCUUGAAAUAUUUCUUAAAGAUAACACAGGAGAAACAAAACACUUUUUUAGUCUUCACUAAUAGUUCAAAUGACACAGCUACCCAACUCAUGCACCAUUUUUUCAAAAUGUGUUUAAAACAGAUAAUUUCUACUUGUUUGAGAAAUACUUUUAGUUUUUCAGAAAAUAACAUUCAGUGAACAAGGAUAAAACAAAAGGGAGGAAUACUUUUAGUUUUCAGA